rnacentral:rRNA from 1 species
GACGAACGCUGGCGGCGUGCUUAACACAUGCAAGUCGAACGAUGAAGCCGGAGCUUGCUCUGGUGAAUUAGUGGCGAACGGGUGAGUAACACGUGAGUAACCUGCCCUUGACUCUGGGAUAACUGCUAGAAAUGGUAGCUAAUACCGGAUACGACCCUCGGAGGCAUCUCCAGGGGGUGGAAAGAAUUUCGGUCAAGGAUGGACUCGCGGCCUAUCAGCUAGUUGGUGAGGUAACGGCUCACCAAGGCGACGACGGGUAGCCGGCCUGAGAGGGUGACCGGCCACACUGGGACUGAGAGACGGCCCAGACGCCUACGGGGGGCAGCAGUGGGGGAUAUUGCACAAUGGGCGCAAGCCUGAUGCAGCAACGCCGCGGGAGGGAUGACGGCCUUCGGGGUGUAAACCUCUUUAAGUAGGGAAGAAGCGAAAGUGACGGUACCUGCAGAAAAAGCACCGGCUAACUACGUGCCAGCAGCCGCCGUAA